rnacentral:sRNA from 1 species
GCUGGGCAUGGUGGCGCGUGCCUGUAAUCCCAGCUACUCGGGAGGCUGAGGCGGGAGAAUUGCCUGAACCCAGGAGGUGGAGGUUGCAGUGAGCCAAGAUCACACCACUGCACUCCAGCCUGGGUGACAAGAGCAAAACUCCGUCUCAA